CCCUUAGAUGUCCUGGGCCGCACGCGCGCUACACUGAUGCAUGCAACGAGUUUAUAACCUUGGCCUGAAAGGUCUGGGUAAUCUUUUGAACGUGCAUCGUGAUAGGGAUAUAUUAUUGCAAUUGUUAAUCUUGAACGAGGAAUUCCUAGUAAACGCGAGUCAUCAGCUCGCAUUGAUUACGUCCCUGCCCUUUGUACACACCGCCCGUCGCACCUACCGAUUGAAUGGUUCGGUGAAGAUCUCGGACUUCGAUAUUUAUUCUUUAUUGAGUUUAUAUUGUGGGAAGUUAUCUAAACCUCAUCAUUUAGAGGAAGGUGAAGUCGUAACA
rnacentral:rRNA from 1 species